UACGUAGGUGGCGAGCGUUGUCCGGAUUUACUGGGCGUAAAGCGCGCGUAGGCGGCUCUUCAAGUCAGGCGUGAAAGCCCCGGGCUUAACUCGGGAACUGCGCUUGAUACUGUCGAGCUAGAGUGUGGAAGGGGCGAUUGGAAUUCCGUGUGUAGCGGUGAAAUGCGUAGAUAUACGGAGGAACACCAGAGGCGAAGGCGGAUCGCUGGGCCAACACUGACGCUGAUGUGCGAAAGCUAGGGGAGCAAACGGG
rnacentral:rRNA from 1 species